UUGACCUCAAAUCAGGUAGGACUACCCGCUGAACUUAAGCAUAUCAAUAAGCGGAGGAAAAGAAACUAACAAGGAUUCCCCUAGUAACUGCGAGUGAAGCGGGACAAGCUCAAAUUUGAAAUCUGGCAGUUCUUUUGACUGUCCGAGUUGUAAUCUAGAGAAGUGUUACCUGUGCUGGACCAUGUACAAGUCUUCUGGAAUGGGGCAUCAUAGAGGGUGAGAAUCCCGUCUUUGACAUGGACUACCAGUGCACUGUGGUGCGCUCUCAAAGAGUCGAGUUGUUUGGGAAUGCAGCUCAAAAUGGGUGGUAAAUGCCAUCUAAAGCUAAAUAUUGGCGAGAGACCGAUAGCGAACAAGUACCGUGAGGGAAAGAUGAAAAGAACUUUGGAAAGAGAGUUAAACAGUACGUGAAAUUGCUGAAAGGGAAACGCUUGAAGUCAGUCAYGUUGGCUAGAAAUCAGCCUUGCUUUUGCUUGGUGUACUUUCUGGUUUGACGGGUCAGCAUCGAUUUCUUUGACCAUUGGAUAAAGUCUUUGGGAAUGUGGCAUCUUUGGAUGUGUUAUAGCCCAUUGUCGCAUAYGAUGGUUGGGAUCGAGGAACUCAGCACGCCGCAAGGCCGGGUUUAUACCACGUUCGUGCUUAGGAUGCUGGCAUAAUGGCUUUAAUCGACCCGUC
rnacentral:rRNA from 1 species